GUUUGUUCAUGUACCGCCAGUACCGCCGCGUGUAGGACGUACUAACAAACUUUCUCUUUACGUCCGCGCGGCAAUCACAACCUCGUGGUUUUUGGCGUUGCCUUAUAAGCCGUGCCCUCCAUUCGUUCGUUGCGGGAAGCGGCGUCCAAAGCAAUCGAAGCCUCGUGGUUUUUGGCGUGGCCUGUUUGGCUGUAUCGCGCCGUUCCCUCCGUUCGUUCCUGGCGGAGCGACGUCCAAAGACCUACAGAAGGGCUCUUUAUGUCCCUCUGUCCGGUGGUGGUCGCAAGCGAGGCCUGCACCGUUAUUGCCAUCACCAUAGUCUGAAGACCUACAGCAGGGCUCUGUCUGGCUCUGCGUCGCUCUGUCCAGUGGUGGUUGCAAGCGAGGCCUGCACCGUAAUUGCCAUCACCAUACUCUGAAGACCUACAGCAGGGCUCUGCCUGGCUCUGCGUCCCUCUGUCCAGUGGUGGUCGCAAGCGAGGCCUGCACCGUAAUUGCCAUCACCAUAGUCUGAAGACCUACAGCAGGGCUCUGUCUGGCUCUGCGUCGCUCUGUCCAGUGGUGGUUGCAAGCGAGG
rnacentral:lncRNA from 1 species